AUCAAAACAAACAAUUAUGCCAAAAAAGCUACACAGCUAAGCAAUAUGUUGACUGUAUAUUUGCUCCCAACUGAGUGAUGGGAUUCAGGCGGUUCAUUGCUCAUUUGUGUUUGUAUGUGUUUUGUAGUGUGGAAGAGGUAGAUUGGGAUAACUGGAAGAAAGAAUUGGGAACCCUCAAGGAGGAUCCUACAGACUCAGACCACAGUGAGAUGGUGUCAAAAGGUAAAUAAAGAGUAAAACCCAACUGCAGACAUGGGUAACCUAUGAUCGUCCUUAUGUUAUUAAACUCCAGAUCCCAUCAGUCACAGCUAGUAUGUCCCGUGGUUGGGGUGGUGGAAAUUGUGGUCCAACAAAAUUUGGAUGGCCACAAAUUCCCCAUCCCUCUAUUACUCAAAAGGUUAGCUUACCUUCCUGCCUUCAGAGCCAUUAAUGCACCAUCAGGGAAACCUCUGUGGCACGAGAGGUCAUUGGACAGCCCCACAGGGCCAUGCCAGCUGGUGGUGAUGUUGCUAUGUCAAAUCAGGAAACUGGUCCUAGGGGAAAGUCUCAUAUCUGCCCAUCUCAGCAGCUGAGUGAAUUCAUCUGGCAAAAAGAAAAGAAAAGGGGGGGAAAAGGAAAUUUUAAAAAACAACAAUAAUAUUCUUGAAGUCAUACCCACUCUCUCUACACUUACUAGAGUUUCUGCCCUUGAGAAAUCUUUUUAGUAGACCCUGAAAAAAGAGAUUUCAAAGUUCCUUGCUUGCAGCAUCAAAUGCUGCUGAAUAGGAGUCAAAUAUACAAGGCAGAUAUAUAGAGAUAGAUAGAGACAGAGAUAGAGAUAGAGAUAGAGAUAGAGAUAGAGAUAGAGAUAGAGAUAGAGAUAGAGAUUCAAUCCCAUAUUCCCUGAUCAUAGGAACCUGACUUUAGUCUGACUUGAUAUAUCUGUCCAUGUAACCCAUCUAUAUUCUGACCAGCAGUGGCCCUCCAGGAUAUAACAGAGAGAGAGGUCUUAACCACCACCUGUUUCCUGAUCAUUCUAUCAGGAGAUGUCAGGGAUUGACAUCUGCAGUAUUUCCACUAAAAAUGAAAGAAGGUUCUAGUCCUCAUGGUUCUGAACAAAGAGUUGACAUAGAAGCACACGAAACUGCCUUAGACCAUUGUUUCAUCUAGCUCAACAUUAUCUACUAAAUGAGUAGCAGCGCCUCUCCUGGCAACAGGCAAAGGGAUGCUAGGCAUUUUCAUGUUUUUUAAAAGUGUUUUAUUAUAAUAAUAAGAGAAUGAACACCAUAAAAUAACAAUGAGGAAAAUGCAAUUCGGGGGAAGGUAUAUGUGCUCUCUUUUACUGCAAACUGUUUGAGGCACCAUCAUUCCAGACAAAAGUAUACAUAGAGUUUUACACUACAAGCAUCAGCGGGCAUGCAGUGACAGGCAGAAAGAUUUCAGGAGAUGAUGCCAGGGUCUGAAUUCUACAUACGAAGCAGGUGUUCUGCCGCCCAGCUGUGGCCCCUCCUAACCAUAGCUGUCAAUGUUUCCCUUUUUUAAAGGGAAAUUCCCUUAUUCUGAAUAGGAUUCCUCGCAAGAAAAGGGAAAAGUUGACAGCUAUGCUCCUAACCCAUUUGCCUGGGCACAACUGCUUAUCUGUUUGAGGACUUGCCUGUCCCUGCUUGACAGUCUUGACAGAUGCUUCCCCCUUCUUCUGUUUCCUGUUCCAGGGAAGCGUCUAUGGAGCUGGGUAUCACAGGGGAUGACAAACAUGGCGGCGUCAGAAGCAGAGGAGGAGCAAAUACCCUUGCGUGACAGAAGUCAGUGAGUGAGAGAAAGCCACAAGGAAGACUCGGUGAAUUCUUCGGGCCACAUUAACAGCGACGUUCCUUAAGCUGUGAAGUGCAAGAGCUUAGCUGGAGCAGCCUGGCCACCGUUAAGGCAGUGACUCAGACCCAAGUUCCAUGUCAUUUACAGAUUUGUGCUGACAGUCUUGCCUUAGAUGAAGGAUUAUUUAGUCUCCUGUUGAAGAGUCUCAGCCUAAGAACCGAGGAAGAGCCUGGCCGCAGGAUCAGGCCCAUCUAGUCCAGCAUCUUCUUCUCACAGUGGCCAACCCUAAAGCAGGGCAUGAGUGCAAAAACACUCUGCCCACCUGAGAUUGCCAGCAACAUUUAUUCAGACGCAUCCUGCUUCUGAUAGUUUAGGGAAAACAUAGCCAUUGAUAUCCUCCAUGAAUUUCCCUAAUCCUUAUUUAAAUCCAUCCAGGUUUGUGCCCAUCACUACCUCUUGUGGGAGCAAAUUGGCUGUUUUUUAGUCGACACCCUGCAAAUGAAAAUGGACUCCACACCUUCUCUGACCCCCUGGCCUCCAUUUUUGUUUUCACUUCAUUGUGUAACAACCUAAUUCACACUUCCUGAAACAAUCACGGGUUGAAGGACAGCUGUCCUAUGAAAUUUGCACUUCUCUGAAUUUUCUGAUGUUGGUUGACGUAUGUGAAAUUGGGCAAUACAGAAAGAAGCACCUUCGUGUCCUUGAUCCUAUUAAAGACUUCUUCAAAAUAAAAUUCCAAAGGGACUGUCUGGCAAAUAAAGGAAUGAAGAAAAUUUGUUUUGCAUUUAAAUUGUACACUUUACUUAGUACUGAACUGUCAAGCUGUAGGCAGAAAAAACACACACCAGACUAGCACCUGAGGUUGUAUCUGCCCUCAUGUUCAAACCACAUCCAAGUUACAUGUAUUGUGCAGAAAACUAAACUCUACUGAGCGUAUUUCAGGGGUUCCUUAAGUCAAGGAAUUGAAACUCAGGAGAAAAGAAAGGCCACUAUACAUUUUCAAUAGCUAAGGGAGAAGCCUCAUGAAACUAGAAGUAGGAAAACCCCAUUUUGUAGUUUCAUGCAGCAGGGUAAUUCUAACCCAUCCUCUAGAGGAGCCCUAAAACUCCUCAUGAGGUAAUUAAAUGAAUUUAUUUAUUUCAUUCUGAAGCUAUUUAGAAAGACCAGCUGCCUUUGCAGAUGCCUCCACAUACUGAUUAAUUUUAUUUCAUAAAAACUAUA